AGAGUUUGAUCAUGGCUCAGGACGAACGCUGGCGGCGUGCUUAACACAUGCAAGUCGAACGGAAAGGCCCUUCGGGGUACUCGAGUGGCGAACGGGUGAGUAACACGUGGGUGAUCUGCCCUGCACUUUGGGAUAAGCCUGGGAAACUGGGUCUAAUACCGAAUAAGACCAUGCGCCUCCUGGUGUGUGGUGGAAAGCUUUUGCGGUGUGGGAUGGGCCCGCGGCCUAUCAGCUUGUUGGUGGGGUAAUGGCCUACCAAGGCGACGACGGGUAGCCGGCCUGAGAGGGUGACCGGCCACACUGGGACUGAGAUACGGCCCAGACUCCUACGGGAGGCAGCAGUGGGGAAUAUUGCACAAUGGGCGCAAGCCUGAUGCAGCGACGCCGCGUGAGGGAUGACGGCCUUCGGGUUGUAAACCUCUUUCAGCACAGACGAAGCGCAAGUGACGGUAUGUGCAGAAGAAGGACCGGCCAACUACGUGCCAGCAGCCGCGGUAAUACGUAGGGUCCGAGCGUUGUCCGGAAUUACUGGGCGUAAAGAGCUCGUAGGUGGUUUGUCGCGUUGUUCGUGAAAACUCACAGCUUAACUGUGGGCGUGCGGGCGAUACGGGCAGACUUGAGUACUGCAGGGGAGACUGGAAUUCCUGGUGUAGCGGUGGAAUGCGCAGAUAUCAGGAGGAACACCGGUGGCGAAGGCGGGUCUCUGGGCAGUAACUGACGCUGAGGAGCGAAAGCGUGGGGAGCGAACAGGAUUAGAUACCCCGGUAGUCCAA
rnacentral:rRNA from 1 species